rnacentral:misc_RNA from 1 species
GCGAGGAAAAUACAUGAAAAUAAGAAAAUUUACCGUAAUUUUGAUGAGGACUAUGAUGGACAGCUGUAAAAAUAGGUUCCAUAGUAGAUAGGGCAACUAGGUUCAUAAUUAGAUCUAUCCAUUUCCUAGGAGUCAUUUAUUAGAAAUGCAGAAGGCAUGUGAAAUUUUCUAUAUGGAUUCAAAUACAUCAAAUAACAAUAAUAAUGGCAUAAUUAUUUUGCACUGCACUUGUGGUU